CAGUAGCCGCGGGAAUACGUAGGUGGCAAGCGUUGUCCGGAAUUAUUGGGCGUAAAGGGCUCGCAGGCGGUUUCUUAAGUCUGAUGUGAAAGCCCCCGGCUCAACCGGGGAGGGUCAUUGGAAACUGGGAAACUUGAGUGCAGAAGAGGAGAGUGGAAUUCCACGUGUAGCGGUGAAAUGCGUAGAGAUGUGGAGGAACACCAGUGGCGAAGGCGACUCUCUGGUCUGUAACUGACGCUGAGGAGCGAAAGCGUGGGGAGCGAACAGGAUUAGAUACCCCUGUGUCCCUGUCUCUUAUACC
rnacentral:rRNA from 1 species